AACAGAAUUUCAUUUUGCAACUUAAAUUUUAUUUUCCAAAUAUGUCUUUCAAAUUAAGUUCAAAAUAUUACUUUCUUUUCGAAUAUCGCCAGAUUCAUGUAAGUAGUCUUUUUGUUUUCUUUUUUCUUUUUCUCUCAGCGGCAGCACAGUGAAGACCAAGAAAAUGGCCAACAGAAACAAAUUAUCUCCUUUUCUUCUUAUCUGGAUCCUCGUUCUAUUUGGAACCCUAAUUUUCAUUCUGAACCGAUUAGGUGAUACAGGGGUCUCAUCGGAGCGUAAAGACAUUAAUGUCGACCAGAAUCAUGAGGUCGUAUUGUCAUGGGCCUCUUUGGCAAAAUUGUCCCGAAGACAGCAGAAAACUUCAGAGCUCUUUGCACGGGUAGCCAAGUAACUUUUGUUCCCUCUUCAUACUCAUGCAUUUAACUACUAUUUCUCAUGCAAAUUUACAAAAAAUGUAUCAUAAAUGAGUUCCAUUUUUCUGAGAGAUUCAGAUCCACAACAAUACUCUUUCUCUGAACAUCAAGUUAAUAAUUAAGGAUACCAUUCUGGAGAUUCUUACAAAUUUGUGCUCUCGGAUAACAUGACUAAUUUCAUUACUUUAGGAGGGAACCCAGCAGUGAAAUAAAAGCAAUAACCAAGCUAGUUAUAUUGUAUUGACAGAAACAGAGAAUACUUAUAUUACAUUUGAGGAAGAAAGAGAGAUAUUCUAUGCUGAAAAGGAUUAAACUCAUGUCCGUGCUGUAAGGUAUGUUGGAGCCAAAAGCAGCUACUCCUAAUUGCCACAGGUCAUUGCUGAUGCAAGGACUAAAAUGCUCUUUCUUCUUUUAGUAGUUUAUUUCAAGACACAACUACAUUUGCAUGAGGGAAUUUUUGUUAUCUAUUUGUUUCUAUGAUGUCCCUUCUUUUCUAGGGUGUUUGGCCAAGCUUCUGGGAAGCCAAAAGUAUUAAUUAAGGUGUUUGACUAAGCUUUUAGGGAAAAAAUAAGUGCUUUUGAAUAGUAGCAAAAACUGUUUCUGAGAAGCUGGAAAAAGUAGUUUUUCCGGCGAUGCACUUUUGGAACCUUGGUCAAGCAUAAAUCGGUGCUUUGAUAUUGGUAAUAGCGUUUUUUAAAAUUGAAUAGCCAAGCACAAACUUCUACUUUUUUCGAGAAACUCUCCUACAAAAAUACUUUUCAAAAUAAGUAGAUUUUGGAAGCUUGAGCAAACAAUCUAUUCACUUCUCCUUAAUCUCUUCUAGACAUGGAGGAAGAAAAGGAAAACCAUCAGCUGAGGGGGAAUCAUUUCAGAUUUCAGAUACUGCUUGCUAGUUAUUUAGGGGGUCUUUUGGCUAGAAUGACGUCAGACAAGGAGGGUUGUAAAGUAUAGAUAUCAAGCACUUGCCUCAGAUGGAAAAUAAAUGCAUAAAGCUCACCACAUUUCUACUGCAUUAGCAUCCAUUAUGCACACUAAUGUUAAAGUUACCAAUCUGGCAAACAUAUAUCACUCAAC